rnacentral:rRNA from 3 species
GAAGACUACAACGUUGAUAGGCAAGAUGUGGAAGUGGUGUGAGCCAUUAAGCUAACUUGUACUAAUUACCCGUGAGGCUUAACCAU